rnacentral:rRNA from 1 species
UACGUAGGGUGCGAGCGUUGUCCGGAAUUAUUGGGCGUAAAGAGCUUGUAGGCGGUCUGUCGCGUCUGCUGUGAAAAUCCGGGGCUCAACCCCGGACUUGCAGUGGGUACGGGCAGACUAGAGUGUGGUAGGGGAGAAUGGAAUUCCCGGUGUAGCGGUGAAAUGCGCAGAUAUCGGGAGGAACACCGGUGGCGAAGGCGGGUCUCUGGGCCGAUACUGACGCUGAGGAGCGAAAGCGUGGGGAGCGAACAGG